AUUAAGAUAGGACUGCAUCAGGGGUCAGCUUUGAGCCCUUAUCUUUUUGCAUUGGUGAUGGAUGAGGUCACAAGAGAUAUACAAGGAGAUAUCCCAUGGUGUAUGCUCUUUGCGGAUGAUGUGGUGCUAGUUGACGAUAGUCGGACGGGGGUAAAUAGGAAGUUAGAGUUAUGGAGACAAACAUUGGAAUCGAAAGGGUUUAGGCUUAGUAGAACUAAAACCGAGUACAUGAUGUGCGGUUUCAGUACUACUAGGUGUGAGGAGGAGGAGAUUAGCCUUGAUAGCCAGGUGGUACCUCGGAAGGACACCUUUCGGUAUUUGGGGUCAAUGUUGCAGGAGGAUGGGGGUAUUGAUGAAGAUGUGAACCAUCGAAUCAAAGCCGGGUGGAUGAAGUGGCGCCAAGCUUCUGGCAUUCUCUGUGACAAGAGAGUGCCACAAAAGCUAAAAGGCAAGUUCUACAGGACGGCGGUUCGACCCGCAAUGUUGUAUGGCGCGGAGUGUUGGCCGACUAAAAGGCGACAUGUUCAACAGUUAGGUGUGGAGGAGAUGCGUAUGUUGAGAUGGAUGUGUGGCCACACGAGGAAGGAUCGAGCCCGGAAUGAUGAUAUACGAGAUAGAGUUGGGGUAGCACCAAUUGAGGAGAAGCUUGUCCAACAUCGUCUGAGAUGGUUUGGGCAUAUUCAGCGCAGGCCUCCAGAAGCUCCAGUGCAUAGCGGACGGCUAAAGCGUGCGGAGAAUGUCAAGAGAGGGCGGGGUCGACCGAAUUUG
rnacentral:rRNA from 1 species